UACGUAGGGGGCUAGCGUUGUCCGGAUUUAUUGGGCGUAAAGAGCGUGUAGGCGGCCAGGUAGGUCUGGUGUGAAAACUCGAGGCUUAACCUCGAGAUGUCAUCGGAAACCAUCUGGCUAGAGUCCGGAAGAGGUGAGUGGAAUUCCGAGUGUAGAGGUGAAAUUCGUAGAUAUUCGGAGGAACACCAGUGGCGAAGGCGGCUCACUGGUCCGGUACUGACGCUGAGGUGCGAAAGCGUGGGGAGCGAACAGG
rnacentral:rRNA from 1 species